CGGGGCGUAGCGCAGUCUGGUAGCGCACCUGAAUGGGGUUCAGGAGGUCGAAGGUUCGAAUCCUUUCGCCCCGACCA
rnacentral:tRNA from 1 species